UCAUUGCUGGAACAAACGCCCUCACGGGUGCUACCCAGAAACCCUUUGUGAACUAUACUUAAUCGUUGCCUCGGCAUUGGUUGACUUUGAAUAAAGUCCCUUUAGGCCCUCUGGGCUUUAAGGAGCAGACCGGCCGACGGCCCCUAUAAACUCUUAUUUUUUGUAUUAUCUUCUGAGUAAACAACUAAAAUGAAUCAAAACUUUCAACAACGGAUCUCUUGGUUCUGGCAUCGAUGAAGAACGCAGCGAAAUGCGAUAAGUAAUGUGAAUUGCAGAAUUCAGUGAAUCAUCGAAUCUUUGAACGCACAUUGCGCCCGGUGGUAUUCCACCGGGCAUGCCUGUUCGAGCGUCAUUUCAACCCUCAAAAGCUUGCUUUUGGUGUUGGAGGAAUACCUGUAAAAGGGUACCCUCUGAAAUUUAGUGGCGGGCUCGCUAGAAUUUUGAGCGUAGUAAUUUUACCUCGUUUUUAAAGACUAGUGGGACUUCUUGCCGUAAAACCCCCAACUUUCUGAAAUUUGA
rnacentral:rRNA from 1 species